AGAUCCACCCUCCUCCCCGCGCCCAUCCUUCCAAUCCACCCCACCGCCGCGCAAAUGGAGAUCCACCUCCUUCUUCUCGCCUCACCCGUCCAGUCNNNNNNNNNNUACACCCAUCCUUCCAAUCCACCCCGCCGUCGUGCAAAUGGAGAUCCACCUCCUUCUUCUCGCCUCACCCGUCCAGUCCACCCCACCGUCGCGCAAUGGAGAUCCAUCCUCCUCUCCGCACCCAUCCUUCCAAUCCACCCUACCGUCGUGCAAAUGGAGAUCCACCUCCUUCUUCUCGCCUCACCCGUCCNNNNNNNNNNGGAGAUCCACCCUCCUUCCCGCGCCCAUCCUUCCAAUCCACCCCCACCUCGCGCAAAUGGAGAUCCACCUCCUUCUUCUCGCCUCACCCGUCCAGUCCACCCCAUCGUCGCGCAAAUGGAGAUCCACCUCCUUCUUCUCGCCUCACCCGUCCAGUCCACCCCAUCGUCGUGCAAUGGAGAUCCACCCUCCUCCCCGCGCCCAUCCUUCCAA
rnacentral:lncRNA from 1 species